UACGGAGGAUCCAAGCGUUGUCCGGAUUUAUUGGGUUUAAAGGGUGCGUAGGCGGAUAAUUAAGUCAGUGGUGAAAUCUUGCGGCUCAACCGUAAAAUUGCCAUUGAAACUGAUUAUCUUGAGUACAGUUGAGGUGGGCGGAAUGUAUCAUGUAGCGGUGAAAUGCUUAGAUAUGAUACAGAACACCUAUUGCGAAAGCAGCUCACUAAACUGCAACUGACGCUGAGGCACGAAAGCGUGGGGAGUCAAACAGG
rnacentral:rRNA from 1 species